CUGCUGCAGAUCCUGACAGCCCUGGCCUGUCUGUGUGGCGACCACCAGGCGACGGGUGGUGGUGAUGGAGCUUGGCGUAGCUGAGAGCAGCGGGGACGCUGCUUGGUCUGGACCUGAGAGCUAUUGACAUCUGGAAAAGGGAUUCAGAAGGGAGGGGUGUCAUUAUUUGGGCUGGAUGAAUUCUCAAAUCAUGG